CCAGAUUCCUCCCAGCUUUAAAUCUGCUGUUUUCACUGAAGCUAAACAGAGGAUGAAUUUGGUGUACGGUACUUACAACGGCUAGAGUGGCAAGUUCUCUUAUCAUCACAUUUUAUCCUGCCAUGAGGUAAAUAAGAAAGAAGCCACAUUGCUAGCAACAGAUAAAUCACCUCACAUUUGAAACAGCUGCCCUCUUUCACCAAGGUCAGCUUCUCCUAUUUAGCCACAACAGAACCGUGCUUGAGGACUUCUGGUCAGGGAAGCUCUAUUCUCUGUUCGAAAAGGGAAACAGGAGUGAUCUGUGCCUCUGCAAUCCUGUGUGUGAAGUGUGUGUCUGCAGGCCCCUCAUUCAAAGGUGUUUCAUGCAGUACUGCACAAGCCAGUAUGAGUAAAGGAGGCAAAGCUCACUCAACCCAUGGAAUAUCACUGGUCUCCCAGAGCUGCCCCUCUACAGGUCUCCUGCUUCAGGACCCCAUGAGGUUCCCAGGGACUCCUCUGCUAGAUCAGAGCACACCAGCUCUGCAAAGCCUAGUGCACGCCUCUCUUUUGAGCUGGGGUCCCAGGCUCCCUUGUUUAAUGCUGUUACAUAAAUUCAUACAAAUGCCUCCUCUGAUGGGCAAGAAGUCACAGCCCCUGAGGCAGCAUGUCAUUUAUCCUUCUUCGUGAACUGAUGGCAAGAAUGUCCACUCGACACCUGCCAACAAGGCUAUCUGGGAAGGUGAAGGUCAGCUCAGGGCUCCUCUUCCCAGGAUGGUGUCACUCUCUCGCAUUUGUAGGGGAUGAUUUCACAUACGCUCCAGGAACAGUCGCCUGAUACCUUGUGCAAAUCCCCUGCAGGUCACACCACCUAGACCUCACAGCAGGUCUAAUGCAGAAA